rnacentral:misc_RNA from 1 species
AUCUUCUUUGUUGCAAUAAUUGUAAUAAGCUGACCACAGGCCAUCCAACAUUUCUCUCUCUCUAUCUCUCUCUAUCCAUAGACUUGAAUACCAAAGCUUCCUCUCUCUAGAAUUUCACUCUUAUUUCUUCUUUUUUUUUUUUUUUCUUUUUGUUUUGGUUAAUUGCCUAAAUUUUUUCCUUGAAAAUUGCUUUCUGCUCAAGCCUGUUGUCUUUCUCUUCUUUUCCCGUCGUUUUUAGUUCUUGGGUUUCUCUUCGGGUUGGUUUCUGGGUUAUAAGUGGUUUUUCGCAUGGCUGGUCGCUACGAUGCUAACCCUUUUGAUGAAGAAGAAGUUAAUCCCUUUUCUGAUCC